GUCUCCGCUGCCGCCCCGAAGGCAAAGCCCGCCCAGCCUGGGGCCAAGCCAGUCCUCGGACGGGGCAGUGACCCAGCUCUCGACCACCCCGCGCCCUCCCUUGGCCGCAGGCGCCCUGCCCAGACGGACGGCGGGAGGAGCAAGGUCUAAAUUACACAAAAUUGAGUUGGGGACAGCAAAAGAAAAAAAAAAUACCAUGAGUGCUAAUAAGAAAAAGAAACAAUGAAGAAAGAAGGGAUUAAGCGGAUUGCAGCAUUAUGCAGCAGAUCUGUCAGCAGGGCUCAGGUGGACCUACUCAGAAAGCCUGGUAGGUGCUCCAAAGGGCUAACACAUUCACAGUCCUUCUUCAAGAAUGUGCAGACACUGGCCAAAGAGCAAGAGAGCGCAUGCACACGUACAUGCUUGAGCAGGGGGAAGGAGUAGAAGAGAGAAGAAUUUAAGUUUCAUCAGGGGAGGAGAGCAUCCAUACUGAUCACAGCUGAUUCCCUGGAGCUAACAAGUGUCUGGUACUUCCAAGGUACUCAAUAAAAUGUUUUGAAUUGACUUGCAUUUAGUUAUCUGAGGAGGAGUCAUAAAUUUGACCUUCCUUCUUUCUGAUACUGCAAAAGAGACACCUGAAAGAUGGCAAUUGGGGGGGGGGGGAGUUAAAUGACAAAUAUGACCAGCUUGAUCCUAAGGCCACAGUUUCACUAUGGGGCUAGUCAUAGUAUAAAAUGUGAAUUCCAUUUCCCUAGAGUCUGACAUAGUGCUAGUAGAAUAUGUUUUGGUCUUCCUAGUCAUUGUCUGAGCAUUGUGCUUUUCUUCUUUGGGUCUGAUGAUGGACUCAGGUGCCCUGAAUUAAGUGAUUUGAUUGUUUUCUAUUUAAUGUAGUACUACGAGAAGCCAGAAGUUAUGCUUUUUUAAAAAAUUGAUAUAUAAUUCACAUACUAUGUAUCCACUCUUUUCAAGUGUGAAUUCAAAUUCAGUGAUUUUUUUUUGGUGAUUUUUAAAUAUAUGUACAAAGUAUGCAAUCAUCCCACUUAUCUAAUUUCAGAAUAUUAUCAUCAUCCCUUACCCCAAACCUGUAUUCAUUAGCACUCACUUAUCUUUGCUUUCUCCUUCCAGCCUCUGGCAACCACUAAUGUACUCUCUGUCUUCAUGGAUUUGCCUAUGGUGGACAUUACUAUAAAUGGAAUUAUACAAUAUGCGAUCUUUUGUGUCUGACUUCUUAUGCUAAGCAUAAUGUUUUCAUCCAUUUAUAGCAUAUAUCAGUACUUCCAUUUCUCUCU